rnacentral:rRNA from 1 species
UUGGAGGGCAAGUCUGGUGCCAGCAGCCGCGGUAAUUCCAGCUCCAAUAGCGUAUAUUAAAGUUGUUGCAGUUAAAAAGCUCGUAGUUGAAUUUCGGGGUCAGUAGGUUGGUCGUGCCACUGGUAUGCACUGGUCUCACUGAUUCCUCCUUCCUGAUGAACCGUAAUGCCAUUAAUUUGGUGUUGCGGGGAAUCUGGACUGUUACUUUGAAAAAAUUAGAGUGUUUAAAGCAGGCUAACGCUUGAAUACAUUAGCAUGGAAUAAUGAAAUAGGACGAUCGAUCCUAUUUUGUUGGUUUCUAGGAUUGACGUAAUGAUUAAUAGGGAUAGUUGGGGGCAUUAGUAUUCAAUUGUCAGAGGUGAAAUUCUUGGAUUUAUUGAAGACUAACUACUGCGAAAGCAUUUGCCAAGGAUGUUUUCAUUAAUCAAGAACGAAAGUUAGGGGAUCGAAGACGAUCAGAUACCGUCGUAGUCUUAACCAUAAACUAUGCCGACUAGGGAUCGGAUGAUGUUAAUUUUCUAAUGACUCAUUCGGCGCCUUACGGGAAA